rnacentral:rRNA from 1 species
UACGAAGGGGGCUAGCGUUGCUCGGAAUCACUGGGCGUAAAGGGCGCGUAGGCGGCUGAUUUAGUCGAGGGUGAAAGCCCGUGGCUCAACCACGGAAUGGCCUUCGAUACUGAUUGGCUUGAGACCGGAAGAGGACAGCGGAACUGCGAGUGUAGAAGUGAAAUUCGUAGAUAUUCGCAAGAACACCAGUGGCGAAGGCGGCUGUCUGGUCCGGUUCUGACGCUGAGGCGCGAAAGCGUGGGGAGCAAACAGG